rnacentral:rRNA from 1 species
ACAGGGUUUGCCCUAGUAACGGCGAGUGAAGCGGCAACAGCUCAAAUUUGAAAUCUGGCCCUCUCAGGGUCCGAGUUGUAAUUUGCAGAGGGUGCUUUGGCGAUGGCUGUGGUCUAAGUUCCUUGGAACAGGACGUCACAGAGGGUGAGAAUCCCGUACGUGGCCGCCAGCCUCCGCCGUGUAAAGCCCCUUCGACGAGUCGAGUUGUUUGGGAAUGCAGCUCUAAAUGGGAGGUAAAUUCCUUCUAAAGCUAAAUACUGGCCAGAGACCGAUAGCGCACAAGUAGAGUGAUCGAAAGAUGAAAAGCACUUUGGAAAGAGAGUCAAAAAGCACGUGAAAUUGUUGAAAGGGAAGCGCUUGCAGCCAGACUUGCCUGUAGUUGCUCACCGGGGCUCUUGCCCCGGGCACUCUUCUACGGGCAGGCCAGCAUCAGUCCGGGCGGUUGGAUAAAUGCCUGCUACAUGUACCUCUCUUCGGGGAGGACUUAUAGGGUAGGCGACAUACAGCCAGCCUGGACUGAGGUCCGCGCAUCUGCUAGGAUGCUGGCGUAAUGGCUGUAAGCGGCCCGUCUUGAAACACGGACCAAGGAGUCUAACAUCUAUGCGAGUGUUUGGGUGUAAAGCCCGAGCGCGGAAUGAAAGUGAACGGAGGUGGGAACCCCUCGGGGUGCACCAUCGACCGAUCCUGAUGUCUUCGGAUGGAUUUGAGUAUGAGCAUAGCUGUUGGGACCCGAAAGAUGGUGAACUAUGCCUGAAUAGGGUGAAGCCAGAGGAAACUCUGGUGGAGGCUCGCAGCGGUUCUGACGUGCAAAUCGAUCGUCAAAUUUGGGCAUAGGGGCGAAAGACUAAUCGAACCAUCUAGUAGCUGGUUCCUGCCGAAGUUUCCCUCAGGAUAGCAGUAACGUUUUCAGUUUAUGAGGUAAAGCGAAUGAUUAGAGGCCUGGGGGUUGAAACAACCUUCACCUAUUCUCAAACUUUAAAUAUGUAAGAAAACCUUGUUACUUAAUUGAACGUGGACAUUUGAAUGUAUCGUUACUAGUGGGCCAUUUUUGGUAAGCAGAACUGGCGAUGCGGGAUGAACCGAACGCGGGGUUAAGGUGCCCACGCGCCCACUCCCCCCCCCAAAA